GAAAAAACAACACACCGAGCUGUAUUACCUAAGUCACUGAUAAGGCAAUACAGCCGAGCAGCAGCGAUGUUGCGAGGGUCAGUAAAGAAAUGCACUGGCCUCCCGAAUUUGGAAAGGUGUUUAUGAUAUUAGAAG
rnacentral:ncRNA from 2 species